ensembl:lncRNA
CUCCCUCUCCCCCCUCCCUCUCUCUUCCUCCCCCCCCAUCCGCCCUCUUCUCUCUCUCACUGUGGGAAAAUGAACUUACUUUCCAUCACCCGUGACAUCUGACCACUGGGCUGAUCACGAGGACACCGUGGUAAACCACAGCUCAACUUGAGACGAUCUCUUCCCGGCGCAGUGCCUGAGCUCGGGAUGGCACCAUCCCGGUGACCCCGCGGGCGUCUGGGCCGCAGUCCCGUCCUCGCUCCCACCAUCCCCUCGCAGGACUGCUCCUGCCCCGCUGUCCUCCCGCUGGGCGCACCCCAGGCGAGGAGCCAGUAAACCAGAGAGCAGUUUGCGCCUGGCUGCGGUGCUCUCACAUAGCAGCUUUCCUUCUAAAAGCGGAGGCUGGGGAAGCGUGCAGACCUCAGAGAUCCUAGAAAAGAAACAAAAACAAAACGCUAGGCCCCCAGAUUGCUGUCGGGAUGGUCCAGCAGGGACUCUGCGUUCAUCUCCCUCCGGUUUGAAUCCUCUCGGUGGGAGUAGCCGGUUGAUGCCUCCAGCAGCCUGCACUCGGCCCACUCCAAAGAAAUGCAGCCAAGCAUUCCAGAAACAAAGUCUGCAAGGAAAGAAUUUUGAGCAGACCCAAGAGAUGGACUUUUCCGGGCCUCUCUGGUCACUGCUGGGCUCCCGGAGGGCAGCCCCGAGGUUCAGGCCAGGGGGUACUCACCCCCCAGCAGCCCCCCUGCACCCGGUGGAGUGCCCGACAAGGGAGACCCGAGUGUGCAGGUCGGCUGUCCUCUUAGCUGAGGAGGAGGAGGAGGAAGAGGGAGGAGGGGGAGGCAAAAGGAGGAGGAGGGAGCAGGGGCAUCCCCCUCGUUGCUGCUGCAUGUCCGGGAAUAUAGGCCGCAUCCUGGGCCCGACUCAAGGCCAACUGGAAGGUGCAGACCAUGGCCUGUGCCCAGUUCCCUCCCUGUGUUCCCAUGCCACCCCCAGACCCAAAGACGCGGAGAGGCCCCCAGGACCCACGAGCAGGCGGGGGAGGCCGACAGCGAGCAGAGGCCCCACAGCGCAGGGCACAGGGAACCAGGCCCAGUUGGGGCUGCCGGCCCUCCCGCCUCCCUGGGCCUUACCCUCAACCUUGGCUAAGGGCACGUGAGACCCAAGCAGGUUAGGAAGAUGGAAAGAGUCUAUAGGGAGGAAGAACCCGAAGAAGACAAAGCAGCAUCCUACAGAAAGCAGGAAACGUGGCCACGCACAGGCCCAGCAGUGGGGCCAGGCCCUUCUUCUCUGGGGGAGAAGUACACAUUCAGGUCCAAGGUGAGUACCUGGCCAGUCGGGUUGGAGGGGGAAGCUGAGGGAGCCUCUGCACUCCACUUCCGAGACAGGGGAACAGAGGUGGGAGCCAGGAAGCCUUGACCCCUGAAGGAUGAGCGGCAAGGACAGUCAUUGAACGCACUUCGUUCUCGUGCUUUAAAUUCUCUAGGCAUUUCCCACACAGAAUCAUCAUGAUUUAAAAAGUCACUCAAGUCAGGCCCAGAAAGCGUUAGACUGUUUUCUUCCAAGUUCUAGUCUGGCCCCCACCUCUACUGCUUCCCAGUGUCCUUUACCCAAAUUCGUUGCUCCCCUGGCAGGCCAGCCUGGUCCCCCACAGAACAACACAUGCUGUGCUCCCCGUGAGCGCACUUGUGAUGAACUUUGAGCCACACAUCUGCUGCAGACAAGGAACUCUAUUCCCACAUGGCUGACACGAGCUGAAGAUUCUGGGUUCAUCCCCACCGUAGCAUAUUUUUAUUAGAUAGGCCGCUGGAAAAUCAGAGGAGUGAAUUUAGCUGCUACGUCCAUACCUCGUUACAAUGCAUGCCCAGCUAUUGUUCUUUUCAUCAGCCUGAUGUUAUUCUGACUCUGUUUCUGCAGAGUGAAUAUUUGGGUGGAAACCAGUGUCCAUCCUCAUUUACCCUCCGAACCGUUGUUGUAUCUGGGCUAAGGAUGUAUUUUCAUGAUGUCACCACUCCAAGCCUCUUUCUUUGAUUUAAAGCAGGGGUUGGCACACAUCAUGUGUAAAGUCCCAGAAAGUAAAUACUUUAGCCCUUUGUGGGACAUAACAAUCUCUGUGGCAGCAACUCAGCUCUGUCAUGGCUGCAUGAAAACAGCCAGAGAAAGCACUUACGUGAAUAAGCACGGCUGUGUCCCAAUAAAACUUUAUUUACAAAGAAAGUGGGUGGGAUU